GAUGAACGCUAGCGGCAAGCUUAAUACAUGCAAGUCGAGGGGCAGCGCAGUGUAGCAAUACAUGGGCGGCGACCGGCAAACGGGUGCGGAACACGUACAGAACCUUCCUUCGAGCGGGGAAUAGCCCAGAGAAAUUUGGAUUAAUACCCCAUAGUAUAUUGGAGUGGCAUCACUCUGAUAUUAAAGAUUUAUCACUUGAAGAUGGCUGUGCGGCUGAUUAGAUAGUUGGCGGGGUAACGGCCCACCAAGUCUGCGAUCAGUAACUGGUGUGAGAGCACGACCAGUCACACGGGCACUGAGACACGGGCCCGACUCCUACGGGAGGCAGCAGUAAGGAAUAUUGGUCAAUGGACGAAAGUCUGAACCAGCUAUGCCGCGUGGAGGAUGAAGGCCCUCUGGGUUGUAAACUUCUUUUAUAUGGGACGAAAAAGGGUCUUUCUAGAUCAACUGACGGUACCAUGUGAAUAAGCACCGGCUAACUCCGUGCCAGCAGCCGCGGUAAUACGGAGGGUGCAAGCGUUAUCCGGAUUCACUGGGUUUAAAGGGUGCGUAGGUGGGUUGGUAAGUCAGUGGUGAAAUCUCCGAGCUUAACUUGGAAACUGCCAUUGAUACUAUCAGUCUUGAAUAUUGUGGAGGUUAGCGGAAUAUGUCAUGUAGCGGUGAAAUGCUUAGAUAUGACAUAGAACACCAAUUGCGAAGGCAGCUGGCUACGCAUAUAUUGACACUGAGGCACGAAAGCGUGGGGAUCAAACAGGAUUAGAUACCCUGGUAGUCCACGCCCUAAACUAUGGAUACUCGACAUAUGCGAUACACUGUAUGUGUCUGAGCGAAAGCAUUAAGUAUCCCACCUGGGAAGUACGUUC
rnacentral:rRNA from 1 species